GAUGAACGCUGGCGGCGUGCCUAAUACAUGCAAGUCGAGCGAACAGACGAGGAGCUUGCUCCUCUGACGUUAGCGGCGGACGGGUGAGUAACACGUGGAUAACCUACCUAUAAGACUGGGAUAACUUCGGGAAACCGGAGCUAAUACCGGAUAAUAUAUUGAACCGCAUGGUUCAAUAGUGAAAGACGGCUUUGCUGGCACUUAUAGAUGGAUCCGCGCCGCAUUAGCUAGUUGGUAAGGUAACGGCUUACCAAGGCUACGAUGCGUAGCCGACCUGAGAGGGUGAUCGGCCACACUGGAACUGAGACACGGUCCAGACUCCUACGGGAGGCAGCAGUAGGGAAUCUUCCGCAAUGGGCGAAAGCCUGACGGAGCAACGCCGCGUGAGUGAUGAAGGUCUUCGGAUCGUAAAACUCUGUUAUUAGGGAAGAACAAAUGUGUAAGUAACUAUGCACGUCUUGACGGUACCUAAUCAGAAAGCCACGGCUAACUACGUG
rnacentral:rRNA from 1 species